AUACGGAGGGUGCAAGCGUUAUUGGGAAUCACUGGGCGUAAAGGACGCGUAGGCGGGUUUGUAAGUCAGGUGUGAAAUCCUACAGCUCAACUGUAGAACUGCACUUGAAACUACAGACCUAGAGUAUGGAAGGGGCAGAUGGAAUUAGUGGUGUAGGGGUAAAAUCCGUAGAUAUCACUAGGAAUACCGAAAGCGAAGGCGAUCUGCUGGGACAUUACUGACGCUGAGGCGUGAAAGCGUGGGGAGCAAACAGGAUUAGAAACCCCAGUAGUCC
rnacentral:rRNA from 1 species